CUUGACACACAUAAGAGGUCCAGCCUGCCCAGUGACUAAGUUCAACGGCCGCGGUAUCCUAACCGUGCGAAGGUAGCGUAAUCACUUGUUCUUUAAAUGAGGACUAGUAUGAAUGGCACCACGAGGGUUAUACUGUCUCCUUUUUUUAAUCAAUGAAACUGAUCUCCCCGUGAAGAAGCGGGGAUAAAUUUAUAAGACGAGAAGACCCUAUGGAGCUUUAAACAAUUAUAGCACUGGCCCACACCUCUUAUUCUUCUGAGAUAUAAUUAUUAUACAGGCCAACAUGACUAUUAGUUUUAGGUUGGGGUGACCGCGGAGCAAAAAUUAACCUCCACGUUGAACGGAGCUACUCCUGAGCUAAAAACUACAACUUUAAGCACCAAUAAACUGACAUCAAUUGACCCAAUAUAUUGAACAACGAAC
rnacentral:rRNA from 1 species